UACGAAGGGUGCAAGCGUUAAUCGGAAUUACUGGGCGUAAAGCGCACGCAGGCGGUCAAUUAAGUCAGAUGUGAAAGCCCCGAGCUUAACUUGGGAAUUGCAUCUGAAACUGGUUGGCUAGAGUCUUGUAGAGGGGGGUAGAAUUCCACGUGUAGCGGUGAAAUGCGUAGAGAUGUGGAGGAAUACCGGUGGCGAAGGCGGCCCCCUGGACAAAGACUGACGCUCAGGUGCGAAAGCGUGGGGAGCAAACAGG
rnacentral:rRNA from 1 species